UACGAAUGGGGCUAGCGUUGCUCGGAAUUACUGGGCGUAAAGCGCACGUAGGCGGCUUUCUAAGUCGGGGGUGAAAUCCUGGAGCUCAACUCCAGAACUGCCUUCGAUACUGGAGAGCUUGAGUCCGGGAGAGGUGAGUGGAACUGCGAGUGUAGAGGUGAAAUUCGUAGAUAUUCGCAAGAACACCAGUGGCGAAGGCGGCUCACUGGCCCGGUACUGACGCUGAGGUGCGAAAGCGUGGGGAGCAAACAGG
rnacentral:rRNA from 1 species